GACGAACGCUGGCGGCGUGCUUAACACAUGCAAGUCGAACGGAAAGACCCUGCUUUUGUGGGGUGCUCGAGUGGCGAACGGGUGAGUAACACGUGAGUAACCUGCCCUUGACUUUGGGAUAACUUCAGGAAACUGGGGCUAAUACCGGAUAGGAGCUCCUGCUGCAUGGUGGGGGUUGGAAAGUUUCGGCGGUUGGGGAUGGACUCGCGGCUUAUCAGCUUGUUGGUGGGGUAGUGGCUUACCAAGGCUUUGACGGGUAGCCGGCCUGAGAGGGUGACCGGCCACAUUGGGACUGAGAGACGGCCCAGACUCCUACGGGAGGCAGCAGUGGGGAAUAUUGCACAAUGGGCGGAAGCCUGAUGCAGCAACGCCGCGUGCGGGAUGACGGCCUUCGGGUUGUAAACCGCUUUCGCCUGUGACGAAGCGUGAGUGACAGUAAUGGGUAAAGAAGCACCGGCUAACUACGUG
rnacentral:rRNA from 1 species